GCUUGCAUCGUCUAUCAUAACCAGGAUUGCUUGUGUGUAAACGCAUUAUUCACUAUAUGACACUAUCAAAUAAAUAUAAGUAGCAAAUGAUUAAUGAAUUAGAGAUAAACAGGUGAUUCACAAUGAAAUGUUAGUAGAAGUAGAAAACUCGAAAAUUUAUGUCUAUUCGUAUGACGCCAAUGACGGUGUGUGCGCAUCUGACACUGUAAAUUUGUGAUAUAGAUUAUAGUAUGUUAACAUAAUAUAAUGAUUAAUAGAGACCAAGAAAAAGGCUAAAGUCUUACUAUAAUUACCGAAUACAAAUUAUGUACUAAAUCCAGAUAAAUCAAUGAAUGAAAUUUCCUCUAUGCUUAUGGACAUUUCUCUGUUCGGCUAUUGUGUCUAUUAUCAAAUAUUUACAUUUGCUAAUAUUGGGCCAGUCCUAGACAAUACUGUUUCUUUUAAAAAUCUUAUAAACAAGACGCGUAGUAACAAGUGAAUCGGUGCAAAGCGUAUCAACAUUUACAAGAAUGGACGAAUGUAAUGGCGUAUUUUAAAAACAUUACAAUAAACGUUUGUUAUAAUCGUGCUCGAGUGUGAACAGAACAUGCAUUGAGUAUUUAAACAACACGAGACUCGAGCACUGCGAGUAACGAUUUGCU